rnacentral:rRNA from 1 species
UACAGAGGUCCCAAGCGUUGUUCGGAUUCACUGGGCGUAAAGGGUGCGUAGGCGGUCGGGUAAGUCUGAUGUGAAAUCUCACAGCUUAACUGUGAAACUGCAUUGGAUACUAUCCGGCUCGAGGAAUGGAGGGGAGACUGGAAUACUUGGUGUAGCAGUGAAAUGCGCAGAUAUCAGGAGGAACACCGGUGGCGAAGGCGGGUCUCUGGGCCGUUACUGACGCUGAGGAGCGAAAGCAUGGGGAGCGAACAGG